UACGUAGGGUCCGAGCGUUGUCCGGAGUGACUGGGCGUAAAGCGCGCGCAGGCGGCCCGCGAGGUGUCCUGUGAAAGCCCCGUGCUCAACGCGGGAGGGUCAGGGCAAACCGGCGGGCUUGAGGCCGGUAGAGGUGGGUGGAACUCCUGGUGGAGUGGUGAAAUGCGUAGAGAUCAGGAAGAACACCCGUGGCGAAGGCGGCCCACUGGGCCGAUACUGACGCUGAGGAGCGAAAGCGUGGGGAGCGAACAGG
rnacentral:rRNA from 1 species